GCGUGCGGCCGGCCCGGUGCGUGAGUCGGGCAGUGGCACGGAGGAGGAGGCGGAGGAGAAGGAGGAGGAGAAAGGCAGCCGGGAGGGAGGGAGCGCCGAGCCAGAGACUAGCAGAUUCUCCACCGUCCUCUAGCACUCACCGAGCAGCGGCAGUGUCUAGAAAUAUAUAGCUAGAAAUAUACGAUCACCCCGCUCCUGCACCAUGAUUUUCCAAAGUAGGCUCCCUUCUUGGAUUAUUUUGUGCUCCGUCUGGCUGUUCCGCUUUGCACACACGGGGGAGGCACAGGCUGCAAAAGAAGUAAUAUUGCUGGACUCUAAAGCACAACAGACAGAGUUGGAAUGGAUUUCCUCUCCUCCCAAUGGGUGGGAAGAAAUUAGUGGAUUGGAUGAAAACUACACUCCUAUACGGACAUACCAGGUAUGCCAGGUGAUGGAAUCAAACCAAAACAACUGGCUGCGGACUAACUGGAUUGCAAAAAGCAAUGCACAAAGGAUUUUUGUAGAACUGAAAUUCACUCUGAGGGAUUGUAACAGUCUUCCUGGAGUUCUGGGGACUUGUAAAGAAACUUUUAACCUGUAUUAUUAUGAAACAGACUACGACAUUGGCAGGAACAUCCGAGAAAACCAAUAUGUAAAAAUAGACACUAUUGCAGCAGAUGAAAGUUUUACCCAGGGUGAUCUUGGGGAGAGAAAAAUGAAACUUAACACAGAGGUGAGAGAAAUUGGACCUUUGUCCAAAAAAGGAUUCUAUCUUGCAUUUCAGGACGUAGGGGCCUGCAUUGCUUUGGUCUCUGUCAAAGUCUACUACAAGAAGUGCUGGUCCAUCAUUGAGAACUUAGCUAUUUUUCCUGACACAGUGACUGGCUCAGAGUUUUCCUCCUUAGUUGAAGUACGAGGAACUUGUGUCAGCAGUGCGGAGGAGGAGGCGGAGAACUCGCCGAAGAUGCACUGUAGCGCAGAAGGAGAAUGGUUAGUGCCUAUUGGAAAAUGUAUCUGCAAAGCAGGAUACCAGCAAAAAGGAGACACAUGUGAACCUUGUGGCCGUGGGUUCUACAAAUCCUCCUCACAAGAUCUGCAGUGCUCCCGCUGCCCUAGCCACAGCUUCUCUGACAAGGAAGGAUCUUCAAGAUGCGAUUGUGAAGAUAGCUAUUACAGAGCACCUUCUGAUCCACCAUAUGUCGCAUGCACAAGACCUCCAUCUGCACCACAGAACCUCAUUUUCAAUAUCAACCAGACAACUGUGAGUUUGGAGUGGAGUCCUCCUGCUGACAAUGGAGGAAGAAAUGAUGUGACCUACCGCAUAUUGUGCAAGAGGUGCAGCUGGGAGCAGGGUGAAUGUGUUCCCUGUGGGAGUAAUAUUGGAUAUAUGCCCCAGCAAACCGGAUUAGUAGAUAACUAUGUCACUGUCAUGGACCUGCUAGCUCAUGCUAACUACACUUUUGAAGUUGAAGCUGUGAAUGGUGUUUCCGACUUGAGUCGUUCCCAGAGGCUUUUUGCAGCUGUCAGUGUCACCACCGGUCAAGCAGCUCCCUCACAAGUUAGUGGAGUAAUGAAAGAACGAGUGCUGCAGAGGAGCGUGGAGCUUUCCUGGCAGGAACCAGAGCAUCCCAAUGGAGUCAUUACUGAAUAUGAAAUCAAGUAUUAUGAGAAAGAUCAAAGGGAGAGGACCUAUUCAACAGUGAAGACCAAAUCCACUUCAGCUUCUAUUAAUAACCUAAAGCCAGGGACAGUGUAUGUUUUCCAAAUCCGUGCUUUUACUGCUGCUGGUUAUGGAAAUUACAGCCCCAGACUUGAUGUUGCCACACUAGAGGAAGCUACAGCCACGGCUGUUUCCAGUGAACAGAAUCCUGUUAUUAUCAUAGCUGUGGUUGCUGUGGCAGGAACCAUCAUUCUGGUAUUCAUGGUGUUUGGAUUCAUCAUCGGGCGAAGGCAUUGUGGCUAUAGCAAAGCUGAUCAAGAAGGAGAUGAAGAACUUUACUUUCAUUUUAAAUUUCCAGGCACCAAAACCUACAUUGACCCUGAAACCUACGAGGACCCAAAUAGAGCUGUCCAUCAAUUCGCCAAGGAGCUAGAUGCCUCUUGUAUUAAAAUUGAGCGUGUGAUUGGUGCAGGAGAAUUUGGUGAAGUGUGCAGUGGACGUCUAAAGCUUCCUGGCAAGAGAGAUGUUGCAGUAGCCAUAAAAACUCUGAAAGUUGGCUACACUGAAAAGCAAAGGAGAGAUUUCUUGUGUGAAGCAAGCAUUAUGGGGCAGUUCGACCACCCCAACGUUGUUCACUUAGAAGGGGUAGUUACCAGAGGGAAACCAGUCAUGAUUGUAAUAGAAUACAUGGAGAACGGGGCCUUAGAUGCAUUUCUUAGAAAACAUGAUGGGCAAUUUACAGUCAUUCAGCUAGUGGGAAUGUUGAGAGGGAUUGCUGCCGGAAUGAGAUACUUGGCCGAUAUGGGAUACGUACACAGGGAUCUUGCAGCACGCAAUAUCCUUGUCAACAGCAACCUUGUUUGUAAAGUGUCAGACUUUGGCCUUUCCAGAGUUAUAGAAGAUGAUCCAGAGGCUGUCUACACUACUACCGGUGGAAAAAUUCCAGUGAGGUGGACAGCUCCAGAGGCCAUCCAGUACCGCAAAUUUACAUCGGCCAGCGAUGUGUGGAGUUAUGGAAUAGUUAUGUGGGAAGUAAUGUCUUAUGGAGAGCGACCUUACUGGGACAUGUCAAAUCAAGAUGUUAUAAAAGCAAUCGAAGAAGGCUAUCGUUUGCCAGCACCCAUGGAUUGCCCAGCAGGAUUGCACCAGCUGAUGCUAGAUUGCUGGCAGAAGGAACGUGGUGAAAGGCCGAAGUUUGAGCAGAUAGUUGGUAUUCUGGACAAAAUGAUUCGAAACCCAAACAGCUUGAAAACACCACUGGGAACCUGUAGCAGACCAAUUAGCCCUCUUCUGGACCAGAACACUCCCGAUUUUACCACUUUCUGCUCCGUAGGCGAAUGGUUACAAGCUAUUAAGAUGGAAAGAUAUAAGGAUAAUUUCACAGCAGCAGGCUACAACUCUCUUGAAUCAGUUGCCAGGAUGACUAUUGAGACAAACCUUAGAAAUAUGAAGGUAAGUGAUUUCUCGGACUUCCAAACAUCUGGGGAUGCUCUUCCCAUGAACGUCCUCUUUCUCUAUAGGAUAUCUGAAGGAUCUUACUCCUCCUUCCUGAAAGGGUAAGGAUUUCAAAUAAUUUAUCAUGUGCUACAAGGUCAAAGAGACAUUACAGAAAUAAUUCCCACGACACAGCUGCUGCAGUAACAUUUUUAGAAUGACAGCAGUGCCCUACAUUGCUUUUUUCAAUGACUGAACUUCUGAAAUUCCUUGGGGUGAUCAAUGACAUUGGUGUGGUAGAGGCUUUAAGACAUCUGGAUGUGUAUUUAAGGAGGUAAGUAGAUGAAGUGUAGCACCAACAAGGCUGGAGUGCUCGAAGUGGGGAGGUAAACGUAGGAUGGCAAAGCUAUAAUCACAAUACAGGAGAUCAGGAUUGUUCUCAGGAGGAAGGACAGAAGAGUUCCAUACAUCACAAGACAAAUUAGAGAUUGGCUUCUGAAUUUCAUCUGAAGUCUUCAUUUGCCUAAGGCUGAUAAUAUUAGUUUUAAGCCACAAUAACCUGAAAAAUAUCUGAGAGAGGAAUGAGAGACUGUGGCUAGAGUGGAAUACCAGCUUGGGUGCAGAUGCCGCCUCUGAAGUGCUUGUUGCAACGCUCAGCCCUGAAAACGACGGUAAGUGAUUUUGCUCAUACAGUUCAUAUUCCUGAUUCAUCUGAUUUACUUAGCUCAAAAGAUUAUAUAUUCUCACAGCAGUGUGUUUUGUUUUGCUAGGAAGUGGAAGUAAAAUAGAAAGAAGUAAAAGCAAGGGGAGCAUGUAAGGCAAGAUUGAUUUUGGAGUCUGUAACGACAAGUUUAUUGAUUCUGACUCAUGAAGUAUGAAGUUAUAGAUUUCUGUGAUGUUACAAAGCCAGCUAAAACAGCUACAUAAUGUCACACACUACUCAAGUAUUGGUCAAUUAGAUUCUUGCUUUAUAUCUCUGGACUGUUUAUGAUACAUUGUAGACAUGAUUUAACAGCUGGAUCAACAACCUAGCUUUUCUUUUUCAGUAGCAAACAAUGUUGUGUGCUCUACAGAAAUACAGGGACAAAAGAGCUAAGUGAUUCUCCUGAAGAUAGGAUUUUAAUAUCAAAAUGAAGAAGAGAGAUGGCAGUAGCACUUACACAUGUUAAAUGUAAAUCACCCCCCAUUGAAUAAAUAGAUUGCUUUGGUAGAAAUAAAAGUAACAAUUCCACUGUUAUUUCAGCAAGUUCUGCGUGGGCCAGCAAUGUGCCCUGGUGGCCAGGGGAGCCAAAGGCAUCCUGGGGUGCGUAAGGAAAAGUGUGGCCAGCAAGUCUAAGGAGGUUCUUCCCCACCUCUACUCUGCCCUGCUGAAACCACACCUGGGAUACGCUGUCCAGUUUUGGGCUACUCAGUUCAGGAGAGACAGGGACCUGCUGGAAGGAGUCCACUGGAAAGCCAUGAGGAUGAUUAGGGGACUUGAGCAUCUGCCCUGUGAAGAGAGACUGAGAAACCUGAGGCAGUUUAGUCUGGAGAAGAGAAGACAGAGAGGAUGGAUGUCUAUAAGUAUCUGAGGGGUGGGUGUCACAUGGAGGUGGCCAAGCUCUUUUUGGUGGCCAGCAGCAAUAAGACAAGGAGCAAUGGCUACAAACUGGACCAUGGAAGAUUUCACCUCAACAUGAGGAGAAACUUCCUUACGGUGAAGGCAACAGAGCACUGGAACAGGCUGCCCAGAGAAGUUGUGGAGUUUCCUUCUCUGGAGACUUUCAAAACCCAUCUGGAUACAUUCCUGUUUGGACUAACUUGGUGAUCCUGCCUUGGCAGGGAGGUUGGACUCAAUGACCUCUGGAGGUCCCUUCCAACUUCUAAAGGUCUGUGAUUCUUGUACAUACCAGUGAUUUGUCUGGGAAGAGUAAAUCUCAGGGACUGUUUGCCAGUGUGCCAGUCAUGCCAGAACCAGAUUAGUAAGAAAUAAGUACAAACAAAACUCAAAAAACCCUUAUGGAGAAAACAAAAGUGUUAUGGGUGGUGUUUAGUCUUCUAGAAGUGUUUCAGUUAAGCACCAUAGUAAUAGAUUUCUGAGAAAGAAGUCUUUCAGCUUGGCUUACCUACUGCUGUUAGAGUCAGCAGAGAUGAAGAGAGUGAUAUUUAAGUUAAAUAAGUUGUUUACUGUUUGCUUAAUGUAGAUUUCAAAUGUUUGUCUUUUUCAUUGACACUAGAGCUGGUCAGGCAUGCAAAUAGUAGCUAAGAUGGAUCAAAAUUCUCAUUCUUAGUUUGGCUUGGGGUGCAAUAGGAUCUAUUGUCAUAGAAUCAUAGAAUCAACCAGGUGGGAAGAGACCUCAGAGAUCAUCCAGUCCAACCUAUCACCCAGCCCUAGCCAGUCAACUAGACCAUGGCACUAAGUGGCCUCAUCCAGACUUUAAAUUAUGUCUUUUAUUAUGCUUGUAUUUGACACUUCUAAAAGGUGUUAUGAACGCAGGUAUUUACUGUUUCUGUUACUAUCUUUAUAAGUGUGAUUGCUGCAGAGAAAAGUGUUUUCAAGAGUAAAUAUUUUGUCUUAAAAGAGACAUCUUUUUUUUUCCUAUCUUUAUCUAAAACAAAGAUAGUGUCAUUAGAAGAGUAUAAGGCACCACAAACAUGAAGGAAUGAAUCUUUGCAAGGUCUUAAGAACUCGAUAUGCAUGAUUGAGCAUGUACCAUGUUCAGCUUGCUAACAUGAAUCUGUCCAAUGCGACCAAAGUUGCAUGGUUGUAUCAGUAUCUAAACACUUAGAAUCAGAGAAUCAGAGAAUCAACCAGGUUGGAAGAGACCUCUAAGACCAUCCAGGCCAACCUAGCACCCAGCCCUAUUCAAUCUAAUAGACCAUGGCACUAAAUGCCUCAGCCAGUCUUCUCUUCAACACCUCCAGCAACAGUGACUCCAUCACCUCCCUGGGCAGCCCAUUCCAAUACCACUCUCUCUGGCAACAACUUCCUCUUAACAUCCAGCCUAGACCUCCCACAGCACAACUUGAGACUGUGUCCCCUGUUCUUUUGCUGGUUGCCUGGCAGAAGAGACCAACCCCACCUGGCUACAGUCUCCCUUCAGUUCGUUGUAGACAGCAAUGAGGUCUGCCCUGAGUCUCCUCUUCUGCAGGCUGCACACCCCCAGCUCCCUCAGCCUCUCCUCACAGGGCUCUCCUCCAGGCCUCUCACCAGCUUCGUCACCCUUCUCUGGACACCUUCCAGUAUCUCAACACUUUUAACAACUUUUUACAACUGGACAAAAAAUUACUUAUGUCUCCCACUUAUAUAAAGUUCCAUCUAUUUCUAAAAAUCUGUGUUGUAGCACUCACUAUUGUCCUAGCCCUGGUCAUGCACAGAUGCAGACACACACAGUCCCCUAGAUGCAAAAACCAUAAGGAAGCAUUUUAAAUACAGAGAAAUGCCAAACUGAAAUAAAGCUUUUACUGUUACUCCUGUUUCAGGGUCGAACUUGAAGACAUGAAGAGCUUGCAAUUACUUAAUUGGCAUCCUUGUCUGAUGGACUUGAGAUUUGCAUUAAUCUCCAAAUUACAGGAACAAUCAUGGGAAAAUUCCUGAUGGAUCAGUCUAGCUGUCUCCAGGAGGACCUGCUAAGGAGAUAGAAGGCCUUCUCUAUCCAGAUUUGUUUCUUGCAACAGCUAGGCUGUGUAAAGUGAUUGUGUAUCAUGGCCAGAGCAUGCAUUGGGAGCCCAGAUGCAUCUGUGGGUCCUCCAGUUCAGAGAUGGCCCAGAUAUCAUUCUUGCCAGGUGCUGCAUCUGCUCUGUUUAUGGUCUAGCAGAAUAAAGGAAAUGAAACUCCAUUUCAAGGAAAUGAAACUCCAGAAGUAGCAAUCAGUAUAAUUACAUUCCAACUACUGCUUGAGGUGCAGGUGAUAAGAAAAUCAGUUUUGUUUACAAAUACAUUCCAAAAGUAUUUUAUUCAGCUGUGUGAACUCCACAGCUCUCAAAGUGAAGCUAUCCAUGCAAAUUGCUUUCUGUUCAAAUUGAUUUAUGUGAUGAUUCAUAAACAUACAAACAGAUUUCCUGGCCCAGUGCAAUCCCUCUUUUUAGGGUAAAAAUAAUGAGUAUUUCCCAAUAGGUUUUCUCACAAUAAUAAAGUGAAGAAUUGCUAUGGUUUUGUCAAGCAAUCAUGUGUCAUUGGAUUGACUAAUUUGGAACAACAGGUUUUCUGGUUGUCUUAAUUCAGAUAUAACAGAGUAAAUGGAACACAGGAGUAAAUCCACAAUCUUCAAACAUAUGUUUUAGAAAUGAGAUCUGAUCAGACACCUGUCUGAUGUCCUUCAAUGGAUUAGAAUGUAUUAACUCCUAUCUCUGUGUCUUAUGUUUGCUUUGUUAGGCUUCAAAGGUCUUGGGCUGAAAGUCUCUGCUUCUGUAAAGUGUUCUUUCAAACUGAUCAAAAACCCCAGCCCAACCAGCCAGCCAAACAAAGCAUCUCAAAAACCAACCAACCAACCAACCAACCAACAAAAAUCCCAGUGAGUUACUUUAUGAGUAAAUUCUAUUCACUUAGUUCUUCAGUUAACAGAGUUGAGGUCCCUCUUGUUUUUCACUGCCAUCUGAGGAACAAAUGUACUGGAGAGCUGGGCAAGGAGGAAUCCAGUGAGGUUCAACAAGCAUAAGUGUGGAGUCCUGCACCUGGGAAGGAACAAUAAACUGCACCUGUACAGGCUGUGAGGUGAUCUGCUAGAGACCAGCCUUGUGGAGAAGGACCUGGGAGUCCUGGCGGACAGCAAGCUACCUAUGGGACAGUAAUGUGCUCGUGGCAAAGAAGGCCAAUGGGAUCCUGGGAUUCAUUGAGAAGAGUGUGUCCAGCAGAUUGAGGGAUGUUCUCCUUCCCCUCUACUUUGCCCUGGCUGCAGCAGGUGUGAAGUCACCACAACUCUAUUAGCUCCACUGUGGCAAUGAAAGCACAUUAUUAUAAUAGAAUUGGAUGUCUGCUCAUUACUAGGGAAGCUACUUGCUCCAGGACUUGCCCUUUUUCUAUGUAAGGCCACACUUUCCUGCCAGCUCUUUUUCAGAAGAGGCCUCAAAAAUGAAGACAUCAAACACUCAGCUGGAAUCCAACUGCAUUCCACUCUGCCAUCCUCACAGACUAGACCCGAAAAGCCCGGCUUCUCUUAUUUCAGUCUUGACAAAAGCAGGACAAUGGGUGGCUAUUGGGAAAGUCUUUUCUUACUUUUUUUUUUGCAGCUAAGAGCCAUAAGCAUUAUCCCAGGAAUCUCCAUUCACAUGAAGAUAAUGCACAGUCACUCUCUCCUUGUUUAGACUACAGCUCAAACCUAUCUGGGACCAUCUCUUAUUUUCUUUCUUGCUUUUUAAUCCUUGGCUUUACCUACUGAUCUAUCCAACAACUGAACAAACUAAAUAGGAAAAUAAUUGUGCUUAAGUCUAAGCGCAUCGAAGCCUUAGACAAAGAUGCCUUGCAUUUUCCUCCCCUCGGCUCCUAAGCUGUACUGAUGGGAAGGAACUUCCAAAUAGACAUGUUUAAGACUGCUGAAUGAGCUUCUGGAGCCUGGAAGGGGUCAAUGUAUUCUGUGAAGAAUCACCUGUCCUUCAGUGGUAAACGGAGUCAAUCACAAACCUUCUUAGUGCUCAGCUCCUUAAUGGGCAUUCUGCACCCUAGUAUGCAUUUACACAUGAGGUUAUUACUAUUAAGGAAAGUCCUUGUGUGAGUUUAAAUAAUCCAGCUCUUGGUGGUUUUGUUUUGGUUUCUUUUCUUGUUUGUUUCUUUUACUAAGGAUGAAGAAUGUGUUAGGAGGUUCAGAAGCAAACUUUUUGUUUGCUGAGGCUCUCUCUAAAAGGAUGCCGGAGAAGGCAUGAUUACAUCUAAAGUAAGAUAGCUUGAAGAAAAGCUUUCCUCUUUAGCAAACAUAGAAACUACCUGGAGUGUACAUGAAAGAAUCUUUUUAGGUAUAUCUUCACAUCUUUAUAUUAAACAAAUAUCUUGGCUAGUAGUGUUUUCCUUUACUGAUUCUUCUGCUCCUUCCAGGUUCUAUCCUGUCAACAAUAACAGUAAUAAACAAGUACUGAAUAGCUUGAAGUUUCAUUUCCUGUAACAGUUUGAGUCGUAUCCCAAGGAAUAAAACUUGCAGAGAUUUA